rnacentral:rRNA from 1 species
UACGAAGGGAGCGAGCGUUGUUCGGAAUCACUGGGCUUAAAGCGUACGUAGGUGGUUAUACAAGUAAGAAGUGAAAGCCCCGGGCUUAACCUGGGAAUUGCUUUUUAGACUGUAUGGCUAGAGUCCUGGAGAGGUUAGGAGAAUUCCGAGUGUAGAGGUGAAAUUCGCAGAUAUUCGGAGGAAUACCAGUGGCGAAGGCGCCUAACUGGACAGGUACUGACACUGAAGUACGAAAGCGUGGGUAGCAAACAGG